UUUUGGGAUUUUUAUAGGGAUAUUUUGGGCUUUGCAGGUAAAAGGUAUUUGAUUCGGUAAUUAAUUUAGAUACUAGGGUUAUUUGAUGGUCUCAAGUAAAGGCCUUUUGGGUUUUUAGUUGUUUUAACUUGUCUUCUAUCAAUCACCUGUGGUCUCCUUUCCCUCUCAUGUUCAGGUUCCAUAGGCUUCUUGAAGCACCUAGCUUUGGCUUACCAUAGAAGAUUAAAGAUAUUUUCUAAGAAAAAUUCGGAUAAUUCUAGAGAAGAGAAAAAAAGAAGAAAAGAAAGAGAGGAAUUAGAUCACUUUAUCACUCCAUUUCUGUUGGAAUCAAGAAAAAGUGAGGCAGCAAAAAAAUUUCAGAUCUUCGACAAGAUUCGGGUCAAGUGGUGAUUGUGGACAGAGAUAUCGUUGUUGAGGACCUUUGAUCAGUAUUGUAUUGUUAGGCUUGGUUUUUUGACUUGUGAAUUGUAUUGCUAGGCCUUGACUAAGGGAAUUGUGGCUUUUGGACAUUUGUACCUAUGUCGGAAGGACUUUUGGUUUUUGGCUUCAAAAGAAUCAGCUUUGUUGGUUUUUCAUUGAAAAUGACCUGUUUAUCAUAUUAUUUUAAUGUCAUUUAUUUAUUUAUAAAACAACUUAAAAAUAUUUUUUCUAACUUUCAACAUUGGAUGCAUAAGAAGCAAGUGUGCUUAAAGAGCUUAAGUUAGGAAUGUCAACCAAAUUAUUGUCAUGGUAAUCAUUAUUACAACACUAACAUUCAUAUUUAAAUUGAUUAUUUAUAUAUACA